rnacentral:rRNA from 1 species
AGAGUUUGAUCAUGGCUCAGGAUGAACGCUAGCGGCGGGCCUAAUACAUGCAAGUCGAACGAGUCGCAAGACUAGUGGCGCACGGGUGCGUAACGCGUAGGCAACCUACCGGUUACCGGGGGAUAACGAUGGGAAACCAUCGCUAAUACCGCAUAAGACCACGAUUUGGCAUCAAGUAGUGGUUAAAGAUUUAUUGGUAACCGAUGGGCCUGCGUCUGAUUAGCUAGUUGGUGGGGUAAGGGCCCACCAAGGCGAUGAUCAGUAGGGGUUCUGAGAGGAAGAUCCCCCACACUGGCACUGAGAUACGGGCCAGACUCCUACGGGAGGCAGCAGUAGGGAAUAUUGGGCAAUGGAGGCAACUCUGACCCAGCCACGCCGCGUGCAGGAAGAAGGCGCUCUGCGUUGUAAACUGCUUUUGUCCGGGAAGAAUAACCUUUACGUGUAGAGGGAAUGACGGUACCGGGCGAAUAAGCACCGGCUAACUCCGUGCCAGCAGCCGCGGUAAUACGGAGGGUGCAAGCGUUGUCCGGAUUUAUUGGGUUUAAAGGGUGCGUAGGCGGCUUUGUAAGUCCGAGGUGAAAUCUUGUAGCUCAACUACGAAAGGGCCUUGGAUACUGCAGGGCUAGAGUACAGGCGAGGCUGGUGGAACGGGUGGUGUAGCGGUGAAAUGCAUAGAUACCAUCCAGAACACCGAUUGCGAAGGCAGCCAGCUAGACUGUCACUGACGCUGAGGCACGAAAGCGCGGGGAGCAACAGGAUUAGAUACCCUGGUAGUCCGCGCCGUAAACGAUGCGAACUCGCUGUUGGCUCAUAUGGGUCAGUGGCUUAGCGAAAGCGUUAAGUUCGCCACCUGGGGAGUACGCCGGCAACGGUGAA